rnacentral:lncRNA from 1 species
UAGAAUACAAAUAGCAAGUUACCAAACUGUCAUGAACAAAGAUAGAAUACAAGGAUGGCUAACCUCUGCAGAAAACAAAAAAACAAGCUACUCUCCCUAGUAAAACUCUAAAGAGUGUUUAAGUUCCUACAAUCCAAUCUAAGUACUCUAGCAAUCAACCAGAGCCCAGAAUGCCUCCCGCCAACAUCAUCCAAAUUUGAGAUUUCUACAUGCUAACUCAAGCAGACAGAAAGUGAUGGUCAGAUCCAUAUUUGAGAUUUCUGCAUGCAAAAUCAAGCAAACAGAGAGCGAUGGUCAGAUGUCAAGUGUUUCAAGCUAAAUCAAGCAGUAUAUGUAAGUGGAGAUGCUCAGCUUAGAAGGUUUGAAUGGACUGAGAGUAGUCUUCACAGUAGUAACUAACUACAUCUCACGUUAAUGGUUAACAAGAAAAACAUCAUCAAAACCUGAAUUCUGCUCAUAUAUUAGGAUUCACAUGCAAUCCUAUCAAAUUCAGAACCCAACAAACCAGACCCCCACCUAACAAAAGGACAAGAAAUAAAAGGAAAAGUAAAACAUAUCAAAUACAACUGAUAGUGGAGAUUCUCUUGUUCAAAAAAAAGGUGGAAAUUCUCAGUCUUUGAAUCAUGAAUGGAUUCAAGUGUCAUCAAUGGAAAAAAUGUCUCAGGUUAACGAGAAAGACAUCACUGCACAACCCACAACACUGAAACAAGAAUGAAUAGCAAGCACAUCACAUUCACAGGUUAAUGAGACAAAUAUCAUCACAACAUAGGAGUUCUGUGGAUAUAUUAGGAUUCACAUGCAAGAUGUAACUCUGUUCAAUUUGAACAAAGAUUGACAGAACUAAACGGAGACGCCAAAAAAAAAUAGAACAAGGACAGAGAAACAUAGCAAACAAGUGACAGUGGAGGUUCUGAGCCUUGAGUUAUGAAUGGAUUUAGGUGUCUUUCAUGGAAUAAAGAUGUAUCAGGUUAACAAGAAAGUCAUCAUUGCAACGUCCCAAUAUUGUAAAAUAGGCAUGCACAUGCUGGGAUGCAGCAAGGCACAAAAGCGAAUGAAAAAGAUGGUUACAAAAGAGUGACACCCUCAACUUGUUAUAUCUUCAACAAUACCAAUGCUGCUCAGUUAUAGUUUUUGAAUGGAUAGAUGCUAUCCUCAUAGUAUGUCUCAGGUUAACGAGAAGUCCAUCAUGGCAGCCAUACAAAGCACUAAGCAAACUACAAACUGUAAUGUGAACACUUGCUUGCACUUAAACAAAGUUAACGUCAUGUUUUAUGUGACCAGGAAUGUAUUUUAGAAUGGAACUAUUGAGAAAUUAACCAAUGUACAACAUAGACAAGUCAACAAAACAACAAACUUGCUUGGAAACAGCAGCGGAAGCAGAAAAUGAAGCAAACAAAGCAGUAGCAGCAGCAGAUUAUGGAACUGGAGGUGCUCAGCAUCUUAUUAUUCAAAUCAUCAUCAUCAUAGUAGCAAUGUAUGCUUAACAAGAAGCUGUCAAUGGGAGGGAGGGAUGCAUGCAUGGAUAGAUAGAUACAUAUAUAUAUAUAUACACACACACAAACACACAAAGAGUGUGUUAGAGAGAGAGAGAGAGAGAGGAGAAUUCUUGAAAAGAUAUCAUCACAGCAGCCUCCAGUUCAUAAUGACUGCAUGGAUAUCCUCCUAAUAAUGGACAUGGAUUCCAUGCAAGUAAGCAAAAAGAUAAACAAAAACACCAUGGUAACCACUGCCACCACCACGCCUCACCAUAACCAGCCCCACAGACACUUCAUCGUAAGUAUGAAGUUGUUUACCCUGCUAUGGAAAGGCGUGACUUUUCAAGAACACAUAGUGAACAGGUCACCAUGACAACAAUGAUAAGGCAUGAAGGCAAAACGAUCCUGUCAGAACCCAACAAACCAGACCCCCACCCAACAAAAAAGACAUGAAAAUAGAAGGAAAAGCAAAACAUCAAGGCCAAGUGAAAGUGGAGAUUCUCAGUCUUUGAGAUAUGAAUGGAUUUAAGUGUCUUUCAUGGAAAGAACGUCUCAGGUUAACGAGAAAGACAUCAUUGAAAACUUCCAACAUUGUAAAAUAGCCUUGAGUUAUGAAUGGCCGAAUGGGUUAGGUGUCUUUCAUGGAAUAAAGAUGUAUCAAGUUAACAAGAAAGACAUCAUUGAAACCUUCCAACAUUGUAAAAUAGGCAUGUACAUGCUGGGAUGCAGCAAGGCACAAAAGGCAAAUUAAAAGAUGGUUACAAAAGUGUGCGACACUCUCAACUUGUUAUGUAUUCGGAUAAUAUCGAUGCUGCUCAGUUAUAGUUUUUGAAUGGAUAGAUGCUAUCCUCAUAGUAUGUCUCAGGUUAACGAGAAGUCCAUCAUGACAGCCACACAAACUGUAAGCAAACUACAAACUGUAAUGUGAACAUUUGCUUGCACUUAACAUGAUGUUUGAUGUGACCAGCACUAUAUUUUGGAAUGGGACUAUUGUUAAAUUAACCAAUCUACAACAUAGGCAAAUCAACAAAACAAGAAACUUAGCUUGGAAACAGCAUCGGAAGCAGAAAAUGUAGAAAGGAAUAACGCAAUAGCAGCAGCAGAUUAUGGAACUGGAGGUGCUCAGCAGCUUAUUAUUCAAAUGAAUAUCAUCAUCAUACUAGCAGUGUAUGCUUAACAAGUAGGUCUCAAUGGGAGAGAGGGAGGGAUAGAUUGGUAAUAUAGUGUAUAUCUAGGUGCAUAGCAAAAGCUAUGUAUCUAGAAAAGCCGAAAUGACUUAUAAUUUGGAAUGGAGGGGGUAUACAUGCGCACGCGCACGCGCACACACACAGACAGACAGACAGACAGACAGACAGACAGACAGACAGAGAGAGAGAGAGAGAGAGAGAGAGAGAGGUUCUUGGAAAGGCUAUCAUCAUGGCAGCCUCCAGUUCCUAAUGGUUGCAUGGAUUUACAUGCCAGUAAGGAAUAAACAAAUAAGAAAAAAAAACACCAUGGUAACCACUGCCACCACCACGCCCCGCCAUCACCAACCCCACACACACCAGAAUUUUCAUUGCAGGUAUGAAGUUGUUUACCUUGCUAUGAAAGUGCGUAACUUUCAAGCACACAUAGUGAACAGCUCACCAUGACAACAAAGAUAAGGUAUGAGGACA